AAAUGGAACAAUAUAGCAAAUGCAACAAUGACUUACGGGUAUCACCAAGCAAAGUUGGCCGAGGAUGAACAAGUAAAACGGCCAGCGGACGACGAGGACAACGGUAAACAUGAUGCAAUACACGCAGAAUACAAACACACAGAGGCUAUACAAAAACAAUAGGGUUCCAUAAUUCGUGAGGUCAAACUGC